ensembl:miRNA MIR4776-1 microRNA 4776-1
CUAUAUGCAGUGGACCAGGAUGGCAAGGGCUCUCCUGAAAGGACAGUAGAGCCCUUGCCAUCCUGGUCCACUGCAUAUAG